UAGGGAAUCUUCCACAAUGGACGAAAGUCUGAUGGAGCAACGCCGCGUGAGUGAAGAAGGGUUUCAGCUCGUAAAACUCUGUUGUUAAAGAAGAACAUAUCUGAGAGUAACUGUUCAGGUAUUGACGGUAUUUAACCAGAAAGCCACGGCUAACUACGUACCAG
rnacentral:rRNA from 1 species